rnacentral:rRNA from 1 species
UAGGGAAUCUUCCGCAAUGGACGAAAGUCUGACGGAGCAACGCCGCGUGAGUGAAGAAGGUUUUCGGAUCGUAAAACUCUGUUGUUAGGGAAGAACAAGUGCCGUUCGAAUAGGGCGGCACCUUGACGGUACCUAACCAGAAAGCCACGGCUAACUACGUGCCAGCAGCCGCGGUAAUACGUAGGUGGCAAGCGUUGUCCGGAAUUAUUGGGCGUAAAGCGCGCGCAGGUGGUUUCUUAAGUCUGAUGUGAAAGCCCACGGCUCAACCGUGGAGGGUCAUUGGAAACUGGGGAACUUGAGUGCAGAAGAGGAAAGUGGAAUUCCAAGUGUAGCGGUGAAAUGCGUAGAUAUUUGGAGGAACACCAGUGGCGAAGGCGACUUUCUGGUCUGUAACUGACACUGAGGCGCGAAAGCGUGGGGAGCAAACAGG